rnacentral:rRNA from 1 species
UACGGAGGGUGCAAGCGUUAUCCGGAUUUACUGGGUUUAAAGGGUGCGUAGGUGGGCAGGCAAGUCAGUGGUGAAAUCUCCGGGCUUAACCCGGAAACUGCCAUUGAUACUAUCUGUCUUGAAUACCGUGGAGGUGAGCGGAAUAUGUCAUGUAGCGGUGAAAUGCUUAGAUAUGACAUAGAACACCAAUUGCGAAGGCAGCUCACUACACGAAUAUUGACACUGAGGCACGAAAGCGUGGGGAUCAAACAGG